rnacentral:lncRNA from 1 species
GGGUGAGAGACAGAAAUCAGUGGGAAAACAUGUGAGGAAAUGGUGGGAAAAUGUGACAGGAAAGGCUGGAAGAGGUGACAAGAAAUGGAGGGCAAAAAUAGACAGGAAAGGGAGCAGAAAAAAGGGAAGAGGAUAUGCUGGAAGAAGUGACAGAUUGGGGGUGAAAAGGGGACAGAAAAUUACAUCAGGAAGGGACAGAAACAGCUGGAAAAGGGGACAAAAAUUAGGGCAAAGAGUGGAUGGAAACUGGUGGGAAGAUGUGAGGGGGAAAGGUGGAAAAAUGUGAGAGGAAAAGAGUGGGAAAACGUGGGGAAAUGUGACGCAAAAAAAAAGUGGGAAAAUAGAAGGGAAAUGAGGUAUGAAAAUGAGGGGGGAAAGGCAGGAAAACAUGAGGAGGAAGGGUGGGAAAAAAGCAUAAGAAUGUGAGUGGGAAAUGGGAGGGAAAUGUGAGGGGAAAAAGAGAGGGAAAACAUGAGGGGAAAAAGGGCGGGAAAACAUGAGGGGGAAAAGGGUGAGAAAAUGUGAGGGGAAAAAGGGCGGGAAAACAUGAGGUGAAAAAGGGGGGAAAAUCCUGAGGGGAAAAGAGCAGGAAAACCUGUGAAUGGGAGGGAGAGGAGCUGAGAAAACUGCAGAAAGAAGGUGAGGGGAAAUGGGGGAUGAAAAGGGACAAAGUGUAAGGACACAAGCCAGGAAAGUGUGAAAAGGGGACUGGAAAGGGGGUGUUGGUGACAGAAAAAGGGGCAAGAGGGGAAAGGACUGGAGAGGGAAAUGAGGGACAGAAAUGGAAGGGACAGAGGCAGCAGGAACUGGAGGAAGGAGAUGACAGGAAUGGGAGAAACCCUGGAAUAAAGAGAUAAGGAGGGAGGAAAUGGUGAAACGUGACAGAAAUGGUCGGACUGAGGGUGAAAUAUGGGGAAUGAAGAGGAUGUCAAGGUGACAGGAAGUCACAAGCCAGUGCCCACCAUCAUUGUCCCCCAUGUACCCCUGUGUCCCCACUGUGUCUCUCCAGGCUGCAGGGAUGGACCUGGACCCAUGCAGUAAGGGGCUCUACGGCCAAGACCCCCCAGGACCACCGUGUGUCCCAGUGUCCCCCUGCCCCAGGGACAAGGCAGGUGUCCCCAAGAGAGGCAGUGUCCCUGUGUCCUGCCGAGUUCCCCCCUCAGGUCUGGAGGUGCUGCUGAAGCAGGUGCACUGCCAGAAGAAGGUCUGUGAGGCCACAACAGAGGAGCUGGUGAGGGCACAAGGCCGCAGUGAGGAGUUGCGCCAGGAGCUGGAGCAAUGUGAGUGACCUGGGGGGACACUGAGAGGGCUGGGGGAUCCCUGAGGGGUCUGGAGGGGGUCCUCAAGGGCUUU